UUGGUCGUCAAUAUCAUUUGUGUCGUCUUUUCACUUAUUUUUAUUUUUGUUUUAGGUUCUAUUCUUUUUACUCAAGAUCAUAUCUAGUGCUACUUGAGUUAAAAGUUGAUAUAUCAAGUCAUCAAUUAAACACAAUUAUUUUAAAGUAAAUCUUUUUAUUUUUGAAGAAAAUAAGUGAAUUAAGAAGUUUUAGCUGCUGCUUCAAAUUGAAACGUAGAGUAGAGACUCAAUUUUUUUCUUUGUUGCUGCUGCUUCUUCGGCUCCACCUGGGAUACAUUGACCAUGUACAACGCUGGUUGCCUGCAAAUCUGAGAUCGCAAUUGCUACAAUGUCUCAAUGAAGCAGAGUCCGAGCUCAUUGGCCACCAUUUUCUUCAUCCUCUGCCUUCAUCAAGGAACACCAAAAAGUCACAUAUCACAUAGGAGGCUGUGUUUUCCAGUUUCCUCUGCAAGAAAAUAAUGUGGCAUUGGAUACCAACCCCAGCAAUAGAAGACUUUUUAGAUGAUGAUGAGGCAGCAACUAUCUGUUUGUCUUCACGGGGUUGGAAUUUGGCUCAGAAAGGAAACCCCCAAGUCCUUUUAGACAGAAAGCAUAUAACAAAAUAAUAUCAAUAAAAUACAGAGAGAGAUUUGACAUUAGAUUUAAUAAAGACACAAGGAUGGAUGGCUGUAUCUACCCCACACCCCUGCAUACAUUUAGAGCCGAGUGUCAUUGGGAGUAGUUUUGUAUUGUCUUGGACUUGUUUGUUGGAGAAGCACUGUUUUCUAUUCUUUGCUUGCAGUGCAAAGAAUUUGAUAAUUGCAAAACUACAAGCGCAUCAAACCUGUGAACAGCACAUGAAAUUUUUCACAAUUUCACUCACUUCCCUGAAGACUGUCAUUUGUUGUAUUAUAUGCUGUUGUAAAGUAUGUGCCACAUAAAUAGGUCAACAUCUGAUUCAAAUCAGCACAUUGGCACUCAGAUCUCUGGCCCAAAAGAGUUUAUCAUAUUUUGGGUUUUCUUGAAAA